rnacentral:rRNA from 1 species
UACGUAGGGUGCAAGCGUUAAUCGGAAUUACUGGGCGUAAAGAGUGCGUAGGCGGUUUGGUAAGUUGGAAGUGAAAGCCCGAGGCUUAACCUCGGAACUGCUUUCAAAACUACUAAUCUAGAGUGUAGUAGGGGAUGAUGGAAUUCCUAGUGUAGAGGUGAAAUUCUUAGAUAUUAGGAGGAACACCGGUGGCGAAGGCGGUCAUCUAGGCUACAACUGACGCUGAGGCACGAAAGCGUGGGGAGCAAACAGG